rnacentral:rRNA from 1 species
AGCAGCCGCGGUAAUUCCAGCUCCAAUAGCGUAUAUUAAAGUUGUUGCAGUUAAAAAGCUCGUAGUUGAAUUUCGGGAUCAACACGUCGGUCGUGCCUUCGGUACGCACUAGCGUCGUUGGUUCCUCCCUUCUGACGAACCAUGAUGUCAUUAACUUGGUGUUUUGGGGAGUUAGGACUGUUACUUUGAAAAAUUAGAGUGUUUAAAGCAGGCAAUCGCUUGAAUACAUUAGCAUGGAAUAAUGAAAUAGGACGUUCGAUCCUAUUUCGUUGGUUUCUAGGAUCAACGUAAUGAUUAAUAGGGAUAGUUGGGGCAUUAGUAUUCAAUUGUCAGAGGUGAAAUUCUUGGA